rnacentral:rRNA from 1 species
GACGAACGCUGGCGGCGUGCUUAACACAUGCAAGUCGAACGGAAAGGCCCUGCUUUUGUGGGGUGCUCGAGUGGCGAACGGGUGAGUAACACGUGAGUAACCUGCCCUUGACUUUGGGAUAACUUCAGGAAACUGGGGCUAAUACCGGAUAGGAGCUCCUGCUGCAUGGUGGGGGUUGGAAAGUUUCGGCGGUUGGGGAUGGACUCGCGGCUUAUCAGCUUGUUGGUGGGGUAGUGGCUUACCAAGGCUUUGACGGGUAGCCGGCCUGAGAGGGUGACCGGCCACAUUGGGACUGAGAUACGGCCCAGACUACUACGGGAGGCAGCAGUGGGGAAUAUUGCACAAUGGGCGGAAGCCUGAUGCAGCAACGCCGCGUGCGGGAUGACGGCCUUCGGGUUGUAAACCGCUUUCGCCUGUGACGAAGCGUGAGUGGCGGUAAUGGGUAAAGAAGCACCGGCUAACUACGUG